rnacentral:rRNA from 1 species
CCUACGGGAGGCUGCAGUGGGGAAUAUUGCACAAUGGACGAAAGUCUGAUGCAGCGAUUCUGCGUGGAGGAUGAAGCAUUACGGUGUGUAAACUCCUUUUCUGGUAGAAGACGAAUGACGGUAUACCAGGAAUAAGGGACGGCUAACUAUGUGCCAGCAGCCGCGGUAAUACAUAGGUCCCAAGCGUUAUCCGGAUUUACUGGGCGUAAAGAGUCUGUAGCCUGAUAUGUAAGUCUGUUUUCAAAUACUCCGACUCAAUCGGAGAAAGGGGAUAGAUACUGCAUAUCUGGAAGUUAUUGGGGGUUAGUGGAAUUUCCGGUGGAGCGGUGAAAUGCGUUGAUAUCGGAAAGAACGCCGAAAGUGAAAACAGCUAACUACAAUAAACUUGACGGUCAGAGACGAAAGCUUGGGGAGCAAACGGGAUUAGAUACCCCUGUAGUC